GAUGAACGCUGGCGGCGUGCCUAAUACAUGCAAGUCGAGCGGACCAAAGAGAGCUUGCUCUCUUUAGGUUAACGGCGGACGGGUGAGUAACACGUGGGUAACCUGCCUGUAAGACGGGGAUAACUUCGGGAAACCGAAGCUAAUACCGGAUGAUAAAGAGAAACGCCUGUUUCUUUUUUGAAAGUCGGCCUUGUGCUGACGCUUACAGAUGGGCCCGCGGCGCAUUAGCUAGUUGGUGAGGUAACGGCUCACCAAGGCGACGAUGCGUAGCCGACCUGAGAGGGUGAUCGGCCACCCGGGGACGGAGACACGGACCAGACUCCUACGGGAGGCAGCAGUAGGGAAUCUUCGGCAAUGGACGAAAGUCUGACCGAGCAACGCCGCGUGAGCGAUGAAGGCCUUCGGGUCGUAAAGCUCUGUUGUCAGAGAAGAACAAGUACCGGAGUAACUGCCGGUACCUUGACGGUACCUGACCAGAAAGCCACGGUUAACUACGUGCCAGCAGCCGCCGUAAAAC
rnacentral:rRNA from 1 species